AGAGCUGCAGAUGUCAUGGGAACUGGCAUUGCUUCCUUGCUAAUGAGCUUUCCUCAUAAUACACUAGAAGUCAAACUGACCUUUGCAGGAGCCCCUGCUGGGAUACAAGGGAAACGCUGCAGCAGCCCCUUCAUCCAAAGCCAGAGAUCUCUCCCUGAUUGAUUGGACAUUCUUUAGCUCUUUCCAUGCGUGGAAGUAAAUGUUUAUCUCCUACUCAAAAUUUAUGUGCACAAGGAUAUCUGAUAUGCAACCCCCAAUGGGGUGGUGACCCACAGGUUGAAGACUACAGCUCUGAAUGCAGACAGACAUCUCCUCAAAUCCUGGCAGUGAUGCUGGGACAGUGGGAUUCUUACUUUUUUUUAUCAGACUGAAUCAAACUAGUCAACUGGGAAGAGGGACCCUCAAUGAGGAAUUAUCUAGAUCAGAUUUACUUUGAACAUGUCUCUGUGGGAUUUUAUUUAUUGUUAAUUGAGAUAAGACUCCUUAAAAUGGGCAGAAUCAUUUCAUUAUCUGCAACCUGUACUGUGUAAAUAUGAAGAAGCUAGAGCAUAAGCAUAAGCAAACAGGCAGCAUUGGUCAUUUGAUUAUCUCUGCUCUUGGCUGUGGAUGUGAUAUGAUUAGCUGAGUUCCUACCUUGAUUUCCAAAAAUGGAACUAUUACCUGGAAUUAUGGGCUAUGAUCAAUUUUUCCCAUUCUAAGUUGCUGUGAAUGAUAACUCAGUGUAAUAAAGAUGUUAAGAAACUA